GUAUAAUACUUUAUUGAUCCAAGCUAGCCAUUAAAACAGCCCAACAAGGAAAAUUCAUUCACUAGAGGGCCUGAAAUACCCUAUCACUUACUUAUUAGUACAACAAUACAAAUCCCCUCCAGUCCAGGAUUUCAUACAUACUUAAAACCUCCAAUACUACUCAAUAUUUAGAUGGAUAGAUCAGCAGUUGGGGAUGGGUACCCUGCACGUAGAUGCCACCACCCUGCUCCGGGGGGAGUUUAUGUAACCACUCAGAGCAGGGUUACUCCUGUACUGGCAGAAGCACGGCGCUUGCGCUCUGAGCUGGGCGCAACAGCCCGCGGUGGGCGGGGACGAGUUUAGGAUCGCCGGAGCGCAGGGGCUGAGAGCUGAGGGAUUGCAGGUGACACCGAUGGCCGCCGGAGCGAGGAGAAGAACGGAGAGGAGGGAGAGCAUCACUAGGAAAGUUAUCUUCAUCCUUGGGACUGUUUAGAAGGAUGUUG
rnacentral:misc_RNA from 1 species